GAUAACAGGCUGAUAGUCCGCGAGAGUACAUAUUGUCCGGACUGUUUGGCACCUCGAUGUCGACUCAUCCUAUCCUCCGGGUGUACAAGCUUGGAAGGGUUCGGCUGUUCGCCGAUUAAAAGGGUACGCGAGUUGGGUUCU
rnacentral:ncRNA from 1 species